rnacentral:rRNA from 1 species
UGGCGGCAGGCCUAACACAUGCAAGUCGAGCGGUAGAGAGAAGCUUGCCUCUCUUGAGAGCGGCGGACGGGUGAGUAAUGCCUAGGAAUCUGCCUGGUAGUGGGGGAUAACGUUCGGAAACGGACGCUAAUACCGCAUACGUCCUACGGGAGAAAGCAGGGGACCUUCGGGCCUUGCGCUAUCAGAUGAGCCUAGGUCGGAUUAGCUAGUUGGUGAGGUAAUGGCUCACCAAGGCGACGAUCCGUAACUGGUCUGAGAGGAUGAUCAGUCACACUGGAACUGAGACACGGUCCAGACUCCUACGGGAGGCAGCAGUGGGGAAUAUUGGACAAUGGGCGAAAGCCUGAUCCAGCCAUGCCGCGUGUGUGAAGAAGGUCUUCGGAUUGUAAAGCACUUUAAGUUGGGAGGAAGGGCAGUUACCUAAUACGUGAUUGUUUUGACGUUACCGACAGAAUAAGCACCGGCUAACUCUGUGCCAGCAGCCGCGGUAAUACAGAGGGUGCAAGCGUUAAUCGGAAUUACUGGGCGUAAAGCGCGCGUAGGUGGUUUGUUAAGUUGGAUGUGAAAUCCCCGGGCUCAACCUGGGAACUGCAUUCAAAACUGACUGACUAGAGUAUGGUAGAGGGUGGUGGAAUUUCCUGUGUAGCGGUGAAAUGCGUAGAUAUGGAAGGAACACCAGUGGCGAAGGCCACCACUGGACUGAUACUUGACCCUGAAGUGCGAAAGCGUGGGG